UGGGGAAUAUUGGACAAUGGGCGAAAGCCUGAUCCAGCCAUGCCGCGUGAGUGAUGAAGGCCCUAGGGUUGUAAAGCUCUUUCAACGGUGAAGAUAAUGACGGUAACCGUAGAAGAAGCCCCGGCUAACUUCGUGCCAGCAGCCGCGGUAAUACGAAGGGGGCUAGCGUUGUUCGGAAUUACUGGGCGUAAAGCGCACGUAGGCGGAUUGUUAAGUGAGGGGUGAAAUCCCAGGGCUCAACCCUGGAACUGCCUUUCAUACUGGCAAUCUCGAGUCCGGAAGAGGUGAGUGGAAUUCCGAGUGUAGAGGUGAAAUUCGUAGAUAUUCGGAGGAACACCAGUGGCGAAGGCGGCUCACUGGUCCGGUACUGACGCUGAGGUGCGAAAGCGUGGGGAGCAAACA
rnacentral:rRNA from 1 species